rnacentral:tRNA from 1 species
AUUUAUAUAAUUUAAAAUAAAAUAUUACAUUUUCACUGUAAAAAUAUACUUAAUGUAUUAUAAAUA